rnacentral:rRNA from 1 species
UAACAGGUUGAUAUUCCUGUACCACUACCAUCGUUAUUAUCGAGGGUGUGACGGAGAAGGAUAGUGUGUGCUAGCGAUUGGAAAUGCUAGUCUAAGCGUUUAGGCAGUUACGGUAGGCAAAUCCGCUGUAACGUUAAUGCUGAGGCGUGAUGGGGAAGGCCCUUGAGGCUGAAGUACAUGAUUCCAUGCUUCCAAGAAAAGCAUCUAGAGAGAGAAGUAGUGCCCGUACCGCAAACCGACACAGGUAGAUGAGGAGAGAAUCCUAAGGCCGGCGGAAGAAUUGCAGUUAAGGAACUAGGCAAAUUGACCCCGUAAGUUAGCGAGAAGGGGUGCCUGCGAGAGCAGGCCGCAGAGAAUAGGCCCAAGCAACUGUUUAGCAAAAACACAGGUCUCUGCUAAAGCGCAAGCUGAUGUAUAGGGGCUGACGCCUGCCCGGUGCUGGAAGGUUAAGGGGAACACUUAGCGCAAGCGAAGGUGUGAACUUAAGCCCCAGUAAACGGCGGCCGUAACUAUAACGGUCCUAAGGUAGCGAAAUUCCUUGUCAGGUAAGUUCUGACCCGCACGAAUGGCGUAAUGACUUGGGCACUGUCUCAACUGCAAAUCCGGCGAAGUUGUAGUGCGAGUGAAGAUGCUCGCUACCCGCGAUUGGACGGAAAGACCCCGUAGAGCUUUACUGUAGCUUAGCAUUGAAUUCCGGUAUUGUCUGUACAGGAUAGGUGGGAGACUGGGAAACUAGGGCGUCAGCCUUAGUGGAGUCGUCCUUGGGAUACCACCCUGACAGUACUGGGUUCUAACAGGACGCCAUGAAUCUGGUGACUGGACAUUGUUAGGUGGGCAGUUUGACUGGGGCGGUCGCCUCCUAAAAAGUAACGGAGGCGCCCAAAGGUUCCCUCAGAACGGUCGGAAAUCGUUCGUAGAGUGCAAAGGCAGAAGGGAGCCUGACUGCGAGACCUACAAGUCGAGCAGGGACGAAAGUCGGGCUUAGUGAUCCGGUGGUACCUCGUGGGAGGGCCAUCGCUCAACGGAUAAAAGCUACCUCGGGGAUAACAGGCUGAUCUCCCCCAAGAGUCCACAUCGACGGGGAGGUUUGGCACCUCGAUGUCGGCUCGUCGCAUCCUGGGGCUGUAGUAGGUCCCAAGGGUUGGGCUGUUCGCCCAUUAAAGCGGCACGCGAGCUGGGUUCAGAACGUCGUGAGACAGUUCGGUCCCUAUCCGUCGCGGGCGUAGGAAAUUUGAGAGGAGCUGUCCUUAGUACGAGAGGACCGGGAUGGACUGACCUCUGGUGCACCAGUUGUUCUGCCAAGAGCAUGGCUGGGUAGCUAAGUCGGGAAGGGAUAAACGCUGAAAGCAUCUAAGCGUGAAGCCUCCCUCAAGAUGAGAUUUCCCAUAGCAUAAGCUAGUAAGACCCCUUGAAGAACACGAGGUUGAUAGGUCAGAGGUGUAAGUGUGGUAACAUAUUUAGCUGACUGAUACUAAUAGGUCGAGGGCUUGACC